AUCGUUUGACUUGGCACGUGGC
rnacentral:snRNA from 1 species